AACAAAGCAUUGCGAUGGUCCC
rnacentral:snRNA from 1 species